GAUAUGGGCGAAGGGAAUGGCCGAGGAAGGGAGAGCUUGUGAUAUGGGUGAAGGGAAUGGCCGAGAAAGGGAGAGCUUGUGAUAUGGGUGUAAGGGAAUGGCCAAGGAAGGGAGAGCUUGUGAUAUGGGUGAAGGGAAUGGCCGAGGAAGGGAGAGCUUGUGAUAUGGGUGAAGGGAAUGGCCGAGGAAGGGAGAGCUUGUGAUAUGGGUGAAGGGAAUGGCCGAGGAAGGGAGAGCUUGUGAUAUGGGUGAAGGGAAUGGCCGAGUAAGGGAGAGCUUGUGAUAUGGGCGAAGGGAAUGGCCGAGGAAGGGAGAGCUUGUGAUAUGGGCGAAGGGAAUGGCCGAGGAAGGGAGAGCUUGUGAUAUGGGCGAAGGGAAUGGCCGAGGAAGGGAGAGCUUGUGAUAUGGGCGAAGGGAAUGGCC